UACGUAGGCAGCUAGCGUUGUUCGGAAUUACUGGGCGUAAAGCGAGUGUAGGCGGUUUGCCAAGUCCGUUGUGAAAUCUCCCGGCUCAACUGGGAGGGUGCGGCGGAAACUGGCAGGCUAGAGUGCGGAAUGGGAGAGUGGAAUUCCUGGUGUAGCGGUGAAAUGCGUAGAUAUCAGGAGGAACACCGGUGGUGAAGACGGCUCUCUGGACCGUUACUGACGCUGAGACUCGAAAGCGUGGGGAGCAAACAGGAUUAGAUACCCCCGUAGUCC
rnacentral:rRNA from 1 species